rnacentral:piRNA from 1 species
UCAGAUCAAAUGAAUGAAUGCCUGGA